rnacentral:rRNA from 1 species
UACGGGGGGGGCAAGCGUUGUUCGGAAUUACUGGGCGUAAAGGGCUCGUAGGCGGCCAACUAAGUCAAACGUGAAAUCCCUCGGCUUAACCGGGGAACUGCGCUUGAUACUGGAUGGCUUGAGAUUGGGAGAGGGAUGCGGAAUUCCAGGUGUAGCGGUGAAAUGCGUAGAUAUCUGGAGGAACACCAAUAGCGAAGGCAGCUCGCUGGGACGUGACUGACACUAAGGCGCGAAAGCGUGGGGAGCGAACAGG